GCCAGUGUGGUGUAGUGGUUUGAAUGUUGGACUAUGAUUCAGGAGACCAGGGUUCAAUUCCUUGCUUGGGCU